rnacentral:rRNA from 1 species
AUUGAACGCUGGCGGCAGGCCUAACACAUGCAAGUCGAGCGAGCGGCGGACGGGUGAGUAAUGCCUGGGAAUUGCCCAGUCGAGGGGGAUAACAGUUGGAAACGACUGCUAAUAGCGCAAAAGAUUGGGUUGCACAGGUGGGAUUAGCUAGUGGGUGAGGUAAUGGCUCACAAAGGCGACGAUCCCUCGCUGGUCUGAGGGGAUGAUCAGCCACACUGGAACUGAGACACGGUCCAGACUCCUACGGGAGGCAGCAGUGGGGAAUAUUGCACAAUGGGGGAAAGCCUGAUGCAGCCAUGCCGCGUGUGUGAAGAAGGCCUUCGGGUUGUAAAGCACUUUCAGCGAGGAGGCGUUACUCGCAGAAGAAGCACCGGCUAACUCCGUGCCAGCAGCCGCGGUAAUAC